AAGGUGGCUGAGAAUAGGCGGUGGGUUGUAAUUCCAUUUAUGAGGAGGUUCCUCUCUUUACA
rnacentral:tRNA from 1 species